rnacentral:pre_miRNA from 1 species
GCGAAGAGGCCGCGGCCACCGGAAUUCCGGCGGCCGCGGCCUCUUCGC